GACGAACGCUGGCGGCGUGCUUAACACAUGCGAGUCGAACGGAAAGGCCCUGCUUUUGUGGGGUGCUCGAGUGGCGAACGGGUGAGUAACACGUGAGUAACCUGCCCUUGACUGUGGGAUAACUUCAGGAAACUGGGGCUAAUACCGGAUAGGAUCUCCUGCUGCAUGGUGGGGGUUGGAUAGUUUCGGCGGUUGGGGAUGGACUCGCGGCUUAUCAGCUUGUUGGUGGGGUAGUGGCUUACCAAGGCUUUGACGGGUAGCCGGCCUGAGAGGGUGACCGGCCACAUUGGGACUGAGAUACGGCCCAGACUCCUACGGGAGGCAGCAGUGGGGAAUAUUGCACAAUGGGCGGAAGCCUGAUGCAGCAACGCCGCGUGCGGGAUGACGGCCUUCGGGUUGUAAACCGCUUUCGCCUGUGACGAAGCGUGAGUGACGGUAAUGGGUAAAGAAGCACCGGCUAACUACGUG
rnacentral:rRNA from 1 species